GGAUUGUGGCUCAGAGGUAGAGUGCUUGCCUACCAUGCAUGAGGCACUGUGUUUGAUCCUCAGCACCA
rnacentral:tRNA from 1 species